AAUGAGGAAGAAGGGGGCAAGCCAGUGCGGGCAGAAAUACAGAAGUCAGAAUCCCUGUACUAGAUCCGCUUAGGUCUGUGUUUUCAGAAGGAAGAGAUGCAGAGACCCGUAAAGGGACUUGUCACUGUUGGGGUGAAGGGGACAUCUUGGCUUUGUCUAAUCAUGCUUUUCUUUGUGGAAAAUUCCAACAGGGAUCUCCCAGAAAGGAGUUGCAAGGCAUGAUUGUUAAAAACUGAGGCUAGAAUUCCAGCUUUCCUAGCUGGGGGACCUGGUGGAACUUCACUACCUCCAACCCUGAAGCCUGGAAACUAGUGGAAAUUCGGGGAAUAAUGCAUGUGUCUGGCAUAUUAUCAGAUGUAACUGAUAUAAAAAAAAUGCUUAGUUUGUCAGAGAGAGGACUGGAUAGGUGGGAAGGCACCCCAAAGGGGCCAGUGGAGUCCUGGUGCAAACAAACAUCUCUUGUCACUGGGAUUUUAGCCUUGCUAAUGAAAGAAUUCAGAUGAGACACAAAGAGCACAGUGUUGAAGGUGGGUGGAGCUUAUUUCAGAGCAGAACUGAGCACACUCCCCUUGGUGACAUGGAAAAUGGCAAAGGGCUCACUGUGCCGCUCUAUAUGUGAGGCAUGCCUCAUACUUUCUCUAGUCUCCAGAACAAGCAGCUUUUCCUGAAGGGCUUUGUGUCGUCGGUUCAGGUCAUUGACAGGCCUAUCUGGACCGGCUGAUACUGGUGCAUGCAGUGAUGGUCCUGGUAAAUGGAAAAGGAAAGAGUCAGGACCAUUAGUCUUGCUACAUCCAGUUCACAAACCUGUCCUUCAUCUCCCCAUAUACUGGCCAUUUUGCUGUUGCCUUGGAAACAACACACAUAUAUCAGAGAAGAGGAUGCAGAAAACAAGUGCAGGAGGACCGGAACACCAAAAUCACACCCCGUGCCUCUGAGGAAGGAGAACAGCUGUAGAGAGCCCCCCAGACAGACACCCCGACUCACUGAGCAAGGGACCCAGGGCUCUCUUCCUGGAGUGGCUUACACAGUGACAUGACCCGACAGCAGAGGAGUCAGACGCAAGCGGAGGGUCCUCUCUGCGCAAGUCUGUUUGCACCUAAGAGGAGAAGGAGAGAGAGGUCCUGGUAGGGUCUCUUCUGUUGGAUGCCACCCAAACUCACACUUCCUCCUCUGUGGAAACAGCGCUUUCGACCCCCAAGACUGGGGUGGGGGGAAUCAAGCCGAGAAUAGAACAGUCUGAAAGUGGCCUUCAGGCAUCACUGUCGAAGCCCGCAUCCCCGCUGAGAUACUGCCUUACAGGUAAUGUGUCUGAGACUCUGCCCUUCCCACUCUGUUUUGAGGACCCUCUGUCUUCUUCAGCUGACUCUUCCUCCGAUUUCCUCUCUUGUACAAUGCACAGGCCUCCCCACGUUCCUGAUGGGGAGAAAAUAAUCUUUCUUUGUUUUGAUGCAAAGCAAUUUAACUUCUGCCUUAGGCUGCCCAUCACAGCAUAUCCUAGGCCUUUCUGUUCCUAACCAUAGGCCCUUUAAUUUGCUGUCAGAACUAAAAGGACUGUCUUCCUCAUCUAGCAAAUUAAACAGUAGACACAAUAGACAGAAACUGUGAUUUCACCGCGUCAAAGUUCAGCAUCCAUCUCUUCUGGAUCAUACUCAACAAACUUAGACUUCAAGACAACAGUUUAAAAGAAGCAGGCUUUCUAGGAUCUGGAGCUUUCUCCCUCACCACUCCAGCAGAGAAAGGAUGGGAACAUUGCAAGAAAGUAGAAAUGGCCCAAGUCUUGGGGGAAAUAGUGAAAAGGGAGGCUGGGGCCUGUUAGUCCUGACUGUCUCGGGUCAGAACAACUUCCGCACAAUUCAUGGCGCACAGCCGAAAACGCAGCGAUGAGCCUUGCGUGGAGAUGCAUCAGCAGGAUGGGGAUACAGUGCCUGACUUUGACUCACUACCCCUGCUUCUAGCCAGCUCCAACCGGUCUGCACUCACAGUGCAAGCUCGGGCAUGGGAGAUAUUUCUGAGGGAGGAUGUGUCUUCACGCACAGGUAAGGCUCAGCAAAAAUGGCCCUGAUCACUAGGAGAGGGCAGGAGGG